rnacentral:tRNA from 1 species
UAGCUCAGUGGGAGAGCGUGCGACUGAAGAUCGUACGGUCCCGUGUUCGAUCCACGG